GUCGGUUGGUGAGAUGAUUUCUUCAGCAUUCCAUUCCUCAUCCGGGAUAGAGCAUUCCAGGAUGAAAUCGGCCAAUGCUUGAGCUUUGAUGGAUGGCUGAAAUAGAUACUUAAUAUCAAAUUCACCCACCUCAAUGGCCCAUUUGGCUAAUCACCUCGAGGUCUCCAAUCAAUGCAGUAUUGAUCUUAUGGGCUGAUCAGUGA
rnacentral:lncRNA from 1 species